UACGGAGGAUGCAAGCGUUAUCCGGAAUGAUUGGGCGUAAAGCGUCCGCAGGUGGCUGUGUAAGUCUGCUGUCAAAGAGCGAAGCUCAACUUCGUAAAGGCAGUGGAAACUACACGGCUAGAGUGCGUUCGGGGCAGAGGGAAUUCCUGGUGUAGCGGUGAAAUGCGUAGAGAUCAGGAAGAACACCGGUGGCGAAGGCGGCAUCCUGGACCGGCAUUGACGCUGAACAGCGAAAGCCAGGGGAGCAAACGGG
rnacentral:rRNA from 1 species